GACGAACGCUGGCGGCGUGCUUAACACAUGCAAGUCGAACGGAAAGGCGCUGCUUUUGCGGGGUGCUCGAGUGGCGCACGGGUGAGUAACACGUGAGUAACCUGCACUUGUCUUUGGGAUAUCUUCUGGAAACUGGGGAUAUUACCGGAUAGGAGCUCCUGCUGCAUGGUGGGGGUUGGUAAGAUUCGGCGGUUUUGGCUGGUAUCGAGGCUUAUCCGCUUGUUUGUGGAGUAGUGGCUUACCAAGGCUUUGACGGGUAGCCGGCCUGAGAGGGUGACCGGCCACAUUGGGACUGAGGGAGGGCCCAGACGCCUACGGGAGGCAACAGUGGAGAAUAUUGCACAAUGGGCGGAAGCCUGAGGCAGCAACGCCGCGUGCGGGAUGACGUCCUUCGGGUUGUAAACCGCUUUCGCCUGUGACGAAGCGUGAGUGACGGUAAUGAGUCAAGAAGCACCGGCUAACUACGUG
rnacentral:rRNA from 1 species